GCCGAGAUAGCUCAGUGGUAGAGCAACGCUUUUGUAAAGCGAAGGUCGGAGGUUCGAAUCCUCUUCUCGGCUCCA
rnacentral:tRNA from 6 species